rnacentral:tRNA from 1 species
GCAGUCGUGGCCUACUGGUUAGGGCUUCAGGCUUGUAACCGGAGGGUUACCGGUUCGAUCCCAGACCAGUACA